GGGUUCCACUUGACUCUGCAUUCUCCUACUUCCCUGCCUGGUUACUCUCUGCCAUCAUAGUUUUUUGCUUCAACCUUCAAAUGUAGCCAUUCUUUUUCUAAAGGGGUACUUAUUCUCUUUAUUAGUUAAAAUUAUUAAUUUUAUGCACUUACUGUUCUAGCUCCAAUUUUGCAUUUCCAGUUCCCUGCUGGGAAUAAAUUAAAUUGGCAGAAGCUCAGCCUAAGUGCCUGCAACAGAAUUUGUCCCAUAUCCAUACAACUUGCUCCUCCACAACAAAUGGGAGAAUCAUCCUCUUACCUCCAGCACCUGCCUCAAACAAAGUUUCUGAUCCAUCUACCAUGUAACUUUGACGCUGACCAAGAAUUACAGCUUCAAAGAAAUCAUUCGAGGAUCAUUAAUAUCUUGGUCAUGAAUAACUUUCAUGUGAAAGGCUCUGAAGCUAAUCUCAAGUGCAGUGAAUUCUGUUUCAUUACUGUAUUUCCAAAUAUUAGAGUUAUUUGGGUUGUAUAUAGGUCAGAUAAUUUACUUUUUUGUUUUCAACCUAAUAUAAAGCACUUCCAAACUUUCUGCCAUUUGCUAUUACUUUUCUCCCUCAGUGAGUGCCAAAUUAGCUCAAUUUUAGUUAAUUUGCAAGGUCUGACAAUCAAGGCUAUCCUCAGCAGCAAGCAGAAAAAUUUCUGAAUGACUAGAUACAAUUUCAAGGGACAAGAAAUUUCUCUGUCCCUGGCUCAUUGGCAAUGAGGUAUCACAGCCAGGGUUUAUUCUUCUGUGAUCAUGACAGUAUUUGAAGAACUCAACAAAAGAAUGUUAAUUCUGACAAUUUAUAAUAGUGAAAUAAUUAACACAGUCUUAAUGUCAAAUAGUAGUGUAUUAUUUAAAUGAUGUAGGGAACAGUUGUGCAAUACAAAACCAUGGAGAUAUUAAAUAUGGCUUAUUAGCAUGUUUAAAGGUAGAAAAUACCAUCAUACAUUAAGAAAAGAUACAGUUUGAAACUUGCACACAGGAUAGUUCCAUUUCUUUAUAUGAAGAAUAUAUAUCAACAGUAGUAGAAGAAGUCUUAGAGAGAUGAAAUUGUGGGAAUAUUUUUCUUUUAACUUUAUUUUCUAUAUAUUCUAUAAUGACAAUGUAUUAAAUUAUAAAAAUAAAAAAUGAGUUUUCUUAUCAUUAGAAAUAACAGUCCAAAAAAAAAAAAAGUAAUGUCCAUCCCUUUAAGGAUAGCCUUUAUUGGUAAAAUUUAAAGUUAAUAUAAGUUAGGUUAUUCAACAUUUAUGGAAAGGGUAUUUUAAUGGACUCUUGGGGGAAAAGAGAUACAUGUUUCUGAAGACACUGGAACUCAGGGAAAUAUAGCCACCAGUGGCUGGGCUGAUCAAAGGAAGGGGAGAAUGAAAAUAUUAUCUUCCCCACGAAUAAUCUUACCUAGAGAGAGGCCGGUACCAACAACUAACCUUAAAGAAAUGUAAAACUAGAGGUCUGUAUUAGUCCAUUCUCGCACUGCUGUAAAAACCUCCUGAAACUGAAAUUUAUAAAGAAAAUAA
rnacentral:antisense_RNA from 1 species